GGUCACAUCGCUCCUCACAUUCAGGUCAGCUCCGAGCACGACAUUCCCUCUGAUCCGAUGCAAGAGGCAAUUCCUGUAGCUGUUCUUGAUCACAGGAUGAUAUCACGUGGCUCAUCAGUUCUGUCUGGUUACUUGGUCGGGCCUACCCACUUCACUGACUACCUGGAAGGAAGUUCACGAUAUUGGUCGCCGUUUUCCUGAUGCUCAAGCUUGGGGACAAGCUAAAUUUCAAGGAGGGGGAAGUGUUAUGGUCCUGAGGAGCGUACCAGCGAAGCAAGCCAAAUCAGAGUGAGUUGAGCUAGCGCGUGAGCUGGAGAUACGAAUCUUAGGUCAGGCGUGAUAUUGUCCUGGACCGUGGCCCAUGUAAAGGAUAGCUAUAUAAAUUCUGUUGGGGAACGGUAUCCGGUUAUAGGCUAUCUCCAGCGAUAUACUCCAAAUUCCAUCCCCUAUUUCCAUCCUCCAUAUCAACUUCAUUCUCUAUACCAAAUUUAACUCCAACAACAUCCUCUAUUUCCAUCCUCUAUACUCCACAAUCUUAUUUUUCUAUCAUUUCUUCCAACGGCCGUUUCCCCCGAGCGCAACGCCCC
rnacentral:lncRNA from 1 species